CUUCAUGGAGCCUGCCACCAGGGACCUGUCCGUGGUGCUGAAGCCUUCGCAUUUGCACUCCUACCUUGUGGAAGGUGUGAAAGCAGAGUCGCGAAGGAUGGGAGUUAUUUGAGCUCAGAUUUGUUCACCUGCGUUCAUCGGUUCGGCCCUGCAGGGAAAAGAGGAACCAUGGCUUGGGAACUUGGGUGGGAAGGGCAGGCCUAGAUAAAUAGUGCAUGCAGAGAAGGGUUAGGGAAAAUGGUGAAAGCAGGCCACUGCAGAGGAGGAGGAUCUUGGAGGAGUGAGCUGAUCUGGGCAGCUGCAAAGUUUGAGAGAAGCGGUACCAGCUUCCUGAGGAGGACCCAAUGACUUCAAAUUUGUGCCCAGAAGAGAGGAAUUUGAGGCUCUUCUAGAAUGAUCACAGUCACCUCUCCUGAGCUGUUUCUGGCUGUGUGGCCCUGAAAGGCGGGACAAUCAUGGAAGCAGACUCUUGGCAGUCAGGUGCAAGUUCAAAUCCCAGCUCUGCCACUGGAUAGCUGAG